GCCUUCUUAGCUCAGUUGGUUAGAGCGACUGCCUUGUAAGCAGUAGGUCGUGCGUUCGAAUCGUACAGUCGGCACCAUUC
rnacentral:tRNA from 1 species